rnacentral:rRNA from 1 species
CGGCACGCCUUAUACAUGCAAGUCGAACGAAGUAGCAAUACUUAGUGGCAGACGGGUGAGUAACAUGUAGGUAUCUUCCCUUUGGUGAGGAAUAACACGAGGAAACUUGUGCUAAUACCUCAUAAGUCUUUACGGAGAAAGCUUUAUGCGCCGAAGGAUGAGCCUGCACUUGAUUAGUUUGUUGGUGGGGUAAUGGCCUACCAAGACUUUGAUCUAUAGCUGAUCUGAGAGGAUGAUCAGCCACAUUGGGACUGAGACACGGCCCAAACUCCUACGGGAGGCAGCAGUAGGGAAUAUUGCACAAUGGAGGAAACUCUGAUGCAGCGAUGCCGCGUGAGUGAAGAAGGCCUUUGGGUUGUAAAGCUCUUUCGUCGGGGAAGAAAAUGACUGUACCCGAAUAAGAAGGUCCGGCUAACUUCGUGCCAGCAGCCGCGGUAAUACGAAGGGACCUAGCGUAGUUCGGAAUUACUGGGCUUAAAGAGUUCGUAGGUGGUUAAAAAAGUUGGUGGUGAAAUCCCAGAGCUUAACUCUGGAACUGCCAUCAAAACUUUUUAGCUAGAGUAUGAUAGAGGGAAGCAGAAUUUCUAGUGUAGAGGUGAAAUUCGUAGAUAUUAGAAAGAAUACCAAUUGCGAAGGCAGCUUUCUGGAUCAUUACUGACGCUGAGGAACGAAAGCAUGGGUAGCGAAGAGGAUUAGAUACCCUCGUAGUCCAUGCCGUAAACGAUGUGUGUUAGACGUUGGAAAUUUAUUUUCAGUGUCGCAGCGAAAGCAUUAAACACACCGCCUGGGGAGUACGACCGC